rnacentral:lncRNA from 1 species
UUACAGUGUUCUGUGAAUUUUCUAGUGUACAGCAAAGUGUCCCAGUCACAUAUAUAUGUGUGUGUGUGUGUAUACACACACACACACAUUCCUUUUGUUAGGAAUUGUAAGGAAAGCUUGGGUUGACCCUGUCUUCUGUUUCUUUCUUGGAUUCCCUUGCUCUUAUUCUCUUUGGGAAGGAAUUUCUGAUAGGAGGAACUCCCUUGGGUGGGACCAGGAAGAUUUCCCAUGAGUCACCCAAUGAGACAGUGUUUUUUGAGUCUUUCACACUGAGGGUGGGGCUGUCUAGACUGGUCUAAGCCUAAGGCUACCUCCUGCAGUAAGUCAGGUAUUACAAAUGGGUCUUCUGGGAGCUGUGGCCUUACAGAAGCCAGACAGGGAGCUAAGGGUGCUAUCCUACUUGUCUGCCACCUCCCCUUUUUUCUUUUCUUUUUAGGGUGGCACCUGCAGCAUAUGGAAGUUCCCAGGCUAGGGGUCUAAUUAGAGCUGCAGCUGCUGGCCUACACCACAGCUUGCAGCCAAACUGGAUCCUCGGCCUACCCUGCAAGGCCAGGAUGAAACCUGCAGUGCAGCAUCAUGGAAAAUAUGCUGGGUUCUCAACCUGCUGAGCCACAACGGGAACUCCUAUCCGCUUCCUUUUUGAAAGAGGCCCCUGGAGUCAUGUCUGUGGCCCCCAAAUUCAAGGCAUUUAGUCCUCUUUUAUUCUAGGCUGUGUGUGUGCCAGGUCUUGUUCACUUGGUUGUUUGGUGUAUCUGGGGACUGGAGGAAGGACAGGAAUAAUGGUGGUGGGAUGAAGGGCUGGGCCGGAAGGCGUCACUGGCAGGAGUUACGGAAACAAUGAAGGAGUCCAGAAGAAUAACUGCUGAAAAUUCUCACAUAUUUUCCACUUGUGGAGCCUGUGAAUGAGAAAUGGUCCACUAGGCAACUUUGAGGUUGUUGACAUACUGGUUGCACACUGGUUUAGGGUACUUGAGGAAUAAAGUCUGGACAAGUGGAACAUGCAAGAGCAGAUCCUGGCUAAUUAGUUGCUUUUCCAGAAGCUCUAAUGAUGGAUGUCAUGCCAAAGAAAACAACCCUGGCCCUUGUAUAGGACUGAGCCUGGCUAGGAGUGCCAGGACUUGUUUUAAAAAACGCAAAUCUUGGCUUCCAAUUUAGACUAGGGUAGAAUCUGCCAGUCCAAUCCUUUGUGUUUUUCAUCUAUCUCAGGAAGCAAGAAAAGAAAAAGGAAUGGGAAGAUGAAGGAGGAAAAAGCAAAGUCUCACAUUUCCUCCUUAUUUGCGUGUCUAAAAAUCUGGACCUCUCUGGAAGCUAUCCUGAGCCCAUGCCAAGAACCUCCCACACCUAAAAAAUACUUUUCGUUAUUUAUAAAUCAUCUUAUUAUAUUUCUGAUGUCAUGUGUAUAAAAACAUACAUUUAAAUCACAUAAAUCCUUUGUAUCCUCUGUGAUCCUGGCCUGCUGGGAAUUUGGAAACAUAAAAGAUGACACAUACACCUAUUAGCAACCUGGGAAAGUGAGUGACUAAAUCCAACGUCAGGUUCAAUAAAAGAGAACACAUAGAAGUCUAGUUAGUUCCAAAGCAACUUUGCGGAAUUCAAUAAAAAGGCUGGAUGAGUCUUGGAAACGGGAGCAGAAGACAAGAGUGAAUGUCAGAAUGCCAGAGUAUGACUGGAGGAAGGCAAAGGAAGAAUCAAUUAAAAAUAUUCUCAUGAUUGAUAAGUUGAUACAUAUUGCAAUAAAAGCACACGGGAUCAACUUAGAAAGAAACACAGAUGGAGACGUCAAGUAGAUGAGAACUCCAAAGGUCCAGCAACAAAAAGAGCCAAUUUUCAUUUCAAUAUAAGGCCAUAGCUGAAGAAGUGCUCCACCGUUGGGGUGCUGUCCCCAGGAAAGGGAUGGAAGAUGCCUGAAGACUCCAUUGCCCUGCCUCUCUGCAGCCUAGGGUGGACAUGACUAUAAGAGCCUGGGCUUCUCCCUACUGAGCACAGAUUCGGACACAGAGCUCUCCACAGCCAGCAGUUAUUGCCAACUGCCUAGAGUUGCUCCUGUACAAUCCAUGCUGGUCUGUGAUGGGCCUGGGCAGGCAAGUUCCUUCUUUUCCCAGCUCUGCCUCUCAUUGCUUUGCCACUGGAAGCCUCUGCCAUACAGUAUCCCCAAACACAACUGCAUUAAUUAGUAUUUGCUAUUAUAACUCCAGAAUAGACCCAGAGGUAAUUACAUGAAAUGUGUGUUUUAUUUUCAUCUCCCUUUCACCAUUUUAUAUACACAAAUGCAUUUCCAAUUUCAACCAAGGGCAGGGGGAAUCAAUGAAUGUGAAACUAUUAAAAAAAAAAAAAAAAAAAAAAAAAAAAAAAAAAAAAAAAAAAAAAAAAAAACUAUGCAGGAGUUCCUGUCGUGGAGCAGCAGAAACAACUCUGACUAGGAACCAUGUGGUUGUAGGAUCGAUCCCUGGCCUUGCUCAGUGGGUUAAGGAUCCAGCAUUGCCGUGAGCUGUGGUGGAGGUCGCAGACUUGGCUCAGAUCCCGCAUUGCUGUGGCUGUGGUGUAGGCCGGCAGCCACAGCUCCAAUUAGACCCCUGGCCUGGGCACUUCCACAUGCCAUGGGAACGGACCUAAAAAGACAAAAAAAUAAAAAUAAUAAAUAAAAUAAAUGAAAAAAGAAAAAAAAACUAUACAGUUAUAAAAAUGAAUAGUACAUGUAUAAGAUUACAUAAAUGUAUCCCCAAACAUGGGGCAUUUUCAAAAGGUAUAUGUUAUUUCAUAAAUAUUUAAAAGUUAAUGAUUUUUUAAAUGAAACUAUUAUAUAUUUUUAAUAUAUAAAUAAAUAUAAUUUAACAUUGAACCUGUGAAUUUAUGGGUAUCGUUGCUCAUGUCAAAGAUUAGUAAAAGUGAAGAAUUAAAUUAGCUUUGAGAAAAAGACUAAGUAAUAGUGCAGGCAGUAAAAAUCUUGAAGGUGCCUGAGAAACACUUAACAUAAUUGUGGAUGCACGUGAUGAAUAUCAUCUAACUUCACUGCUGAUUUAUGACACUUACGACCUGCCAACUGCCGAACAACAUGGCGCUAACAUUCCCAACUGCCCCCAAAUUAAAUGGGAAGUUACCCUUGUUGUCUAACAACUGAAUUGCACUAGAAUUUAAUGAUUUAAGAACUCACUCAUGAAACUUAGCUAAGACUAGAAGUAAAAACACCCAGCCUUUAUCUGACCUACAAAUGCACAAUAGUUGUGAUUAUGUCCUCAGUCACAACUAUGUUAGUGUCACCCCCAAUUAACUUUCCCAGAUAGUUUUCAAUUUAGCACUAACCAUCCCAGCUACUAAAAUACAACAGCACAAGGUGGCGUGGUAAUAGGACUGCUUCCAAGAGUAUUCAUUUGCUCUGACAACUCACAACAACAACAAAAUCCUGGGGUGGGAAUUCCAUUCUAUUUUAUCUUUGCCAUUUGUAAUACGGUCGCUCCUUAGAGGUCUAAUUUAUCUGACAUGCUUGGAGAAGCCAUUUUUAUUAUUCCAUAUCUGAAUUAUAUUCUUUUUUUUUUUCUUCUUGUUUUAGAAUAGUACCAGGUUCCCCUUUGUCAGAAGCAUUUGUCAUUGAGUGGUGAGAUAACAUUGCAAGAAAUGUCAUAAGCAGUGUUUGGUCACCGUCUGCCAUGUUUAAUAAACGUCAAGGUAACCAAGAGUUUAUAAGACAAAGUUUAUUAGCAGAGUGUUUUGCCCCUUCCUGCUUAAGCUAUGCACUAAUUGGUACAAGUAAAAGCUGGCCCAGAUUUUUAAUUUCAGUACUAGAUAAAAAGGAAAGUUUAAAAUCAAGGAAAACUUCAUAGGAAUUACCAAAACCCAGCUGAAGGUUGUAUUUAAUUUAAACCACAGAUUUUUUUUUUCUUUUUAGAAAAACAGAUGGAGAGAAAAAUUCUAGUAUCAGCCAUAUCAUGACAUUUCCAGAUAAAUCUUUAAAACAAAAUAAACCAUUUCCCUAAGAGGGCCGUCUUUCAUCUAUCCCAGACUACUUCCUGCUCUUCCUUCUCUUUCCUUCAGCUCUGAGAGUCAAGUCUGGGGAACCAUCUGAGCCCCAAGUUCAGGCAUUGAUAAAAAUUUAAGAGAGUAUGAUGCAUUGCAAUGGGCAAUUCUCAAAGUCAGAAACUCUACAAUACAAAAAUUAAUAAACUCUAAAUGAAAAUUCAGAGCAGUUGUGGGAGAAGAGAGAACAUAAGAAGACACAAGAUGGGGUUCACAGGCUUCAGAAACAGCUUCCUGGGCCACACAGGCUUCACCUUGAAUAUACGUACCAUAAAUACACAUCUACUAGCAUCCACAUCAUAAUACAUGAUAAAACUAAGCUCUGUGUGGGGGGGGGAGGGGGGAGGUAGGGUGAGGGGCACUAGGUAUGCAGACCCUGGUGAGGUGAAAAGGGCCAGAGCUGAUGGUAAUUACCACUACUAUAUACAGUUUCACCUCCAUUUUACAGGUUAGGAAACUGAGGCACAGGGAGGUUUUAUAAUGUUUAAGUUCACCCAGCUAACUACAAAUCCCAGCUUCUUUCCAUUUUUACCAUCUUAGUUUCCCCAAAGAUCUAUAGGUAGAUCCAAUAAAUGUGGUUUUCAAUGCACCUCUAUCUUCGAGUUCUAUUUCAGGUCUAAAGAUGGCCAGGUUUAGCAUUUAAGCUAAAACCAAAACCAAAACAAACAAGGAAAAGUUAUCACUUUGAAAGUGUAGACCAAAGAGAUUAUGAAGAAUGGUUUAUAAGCUGAUCCAGGUACUAAUUUGAAAAGCUUGUUUUUAUGCAUCAGUAGCAUCAUUAAGCUUGUUUGAACACCAUUCUGUACUUAGUUUGUGAUAUGGAACAAUAUAGAAAAAGAAAUCCAAAAACCCAAUUCCUGCAGUAGAACCCUGAGAACUUAAGCAUCUUUACAUCUUCCCGUGUAGGAGUUAGACACCAAAUGGGUUAACCAUCAAAUCAAAGAAGUGUGGGUAUUAUGUAUUCUAAAUGGACACUCACUCUUCUCAUAAAUACUGACACUAAGGGCUGCUUCUACCAAUUCUCUGUUCCAGUGCUGGAUUCAUGGGAGGCAAUUAAUUCUGUUUAUGGAUUGGCUGACAAGAGAGUUCAGUGAACUAACAUCAAAUACUUUUCUAGUACCCUAAUUUGCAAUUUGGAAAACCAGAAGUAACAAUUGUUCCCUCAGGAAUCAAAGGAGGACGCUGGCCUUCAGAACUCCCUUGGUUCUAGUCUUUAAAGCUAUUUUCUUGAGGGAAUUCUGUAUGACAGGCACUACAACUGCAUAUCUGAUGGGUCACAGCACUUUCUCUUUCUCCUUUAUAACUUUAUUAAGGAAUGAAUACAGCUUACACUUUAGGGGCAUAACUUCAUGGGAGAUAAAGACCCUUCACACUUUAUGGAAAGGUCAAAGCUGUCCUAAAAAUGACCAAUGAACCCAAGAAAUUCUUGACUCAGAGGUCCAAUUUAUCUGUUUUCAUCUCAUUUAAAAAUAAAAUGGCUAAGCCCUAUUUUUCUGGUCUAUUAUUUAUUAGAUUUCAAUAAAGAAGCUUGCUUUUCAUUAAAAUUUUGUCACAGACCACCCCAUACUGGGCUUCGCCUUGCAAAAGGCAUUUUCAAUUUCUCCCUCCUUUCUUGAAAAAAGAAGUGAUUUUUGGCUCUUUUCUUUCUUGCUGACAGUCUUUCCUAGUCUUUAAAGAAACCAACCAACAAAACUAUUUCCUUUUUCCUCUUUCUUAAAGAGAUAUUCAAUGAGUAUACUUACUUAUUUUUUUAGCAGAAAUCCACAUUUCCUUGAAAAGGAGGAUUUUAGAUACUGAAUUUCACAAUUCCCUGUUUGUGAAGACUUACAUUUAAAAAAAUCACUUUUAGGUGAACAACUACAGUAUAAAAACUAAUAUAUACAUACAUGAUAUAAAAAAUAUAUUUUCACUGAUGAUACAUGGUACAGAAAGACCUAGCAAAAGUGAUAAAACUCAGCUAACAAAGACUGUACAAGUAUGCAAGAAAACUCUGUAAUCAGUGUUUUGAGUUGCUAAUGAGACAUGUGGGUUGCUUUUGAAGAAAGAUGGUACUGGGAUUAACUACUUAAAUAUUAAUAAGUUGUUUUCUGCAUAUGGUCAAUUUAGGAAGAGAGCAAGUUCAGAAAACAUAACCACAAUCCAAAAUCUCAACUUCGAAUAAACUGGAAAUAUUAUAAUAUUCAAGACCUGUUCCUAAGCAUAGAUCUUAGCACUUCAAAUACGCCAGAGCACAAUUUUAGUAAGAGACACGAAUUGCAUU